GUUGAUCCUGCGGGAGGACACUGCUAGUGGGGUCCGAUUUAGACAUGCAAGUCUGGUAGCAAUACCGGCAGAAGGCUCAGUAACACGUCAAUAAUCUGACCUAAGGUAGAAGAUAACUUCGGGAAACUGAGGGUAAUAUUCUAUAGGAGAAAGAUACUGGAAUGUUUUUUCUCCAAAGCUUCGGCGCCUUGGGGUGAGUUGGCGGCAGAUUAGCUUGAUGGUGGUGCAAUGGACCACCAUGGCUCAGAUCUGUAAGGGGAAUGAGAGUUCGAGCCCUGAGAGGGACACUGAGAUAAGGGUCCCAGCCCUACGGGGUGCAGCAGUUACGAAACCUCCACAAUGCACGCAAGUGUGAUGGGGGGACCCCACGUGCUUAUCCUUGCGGGUAAGCUUUUGCUAAGUUUAUAAUGCUUAGAGAAUAAGUGGUGGGCAAGAACGGUGCCAGCCGCCGCGGUAACACCGACGCCACGAGUGGUGUCCACGUUUAUUGGGCCUACAGCAUCCGUAGCCGGUUUAUUAAGUUUUUGGUGAAAUUCGGUGGCUUAACUAUCGAGCGCGCCAAAAAUACUGGUAAACUAGAGACUGGGAGGAGCUGAGAGUAUUCCGGGGGGAGCGGUGAAAUGUUUUAAUCCUCGGAGGACUACCCGUGGCGAAGGCGCUCAGCUAGAACAGGUCUGACGGUGAGGGAUGAAAGCUAGGGGAGCAAUGCGGAUUAGAUACCCGCGUAGUCCUAGCCGUAAACGCUGCCUGCUUGGUGCGGUGCGUUCCUUGAGAAUGUGCGGUGCCGUAGCGAAGGUGUUAAGCAGGCCGCCUGGGGAGUACGGUCGCAAGGCUGAAACUUAAAGGAAUAGGCGGGGGGUCACUACAAGGGGUGGAUGCUGCGGUUUAAUUGGAAUAGACGCCCGAAACCUUACCAACGGCGACAGCAGGAUGAAGGUCCGUCUAAAUGGCGUACUCGACACGCUGAGAGGUGGUGCAUGGCCGCCGUCAGCUCGUGCCGCGAGGUGUUCUGUUAAGUCAGAGAACGAGCGAGACCUGUGCUCCUAGUUGCUAGCUUUUUCUUCGGAGGAGGCGCACACCAGGAGGACUGCUUGCGUAAGCAAGAGGAAGGUGCAGGCAACGGUAGGUCAGUAUGCCCUGAAUCCGUUGGGCUACACGCGGCAUACAUCGGUUAAAGCAACGGGUUGCGACUCCGAAAGGAGAAGCUAAUCCCUUAAACUUAAUCAUGUCUGAAUUGAAGGCUGCAACCCGCCUUCAUGAAAGCGAAAUCCCUAGUAAUUGCGUUUUAGCAUAGCGCAGUGAAUAUGUCACUGACCCUUGCACUCACUGCCCGUCAAUCCAUCCGAGUUGGGUUUGGAUGAGGCUCCUGUGAAGGAUUCGAAUCCAGGCUUGGCGAGGCGGGAUAAGUCGACACAAGGUA
rnacentral:rRNA from 1 species